rnacentral:tRNA from 1 species
GAGUGGCUGAACGGUUAAAGCGUUGGGCUCAAGACCCAAAUGACCUUGGCGGGUCUUACAGGUUCAAACCCCGUCCCCGGCG